rnacentral:rRNA from 1 species
UGGGGAAUAUUGCACAAUGGGCGCAAGCCUGAUGCAGCCAUGCCGCGUGUGUGAAGAAGGCCUUCGGGCUGUAAAGCACUUUCAGCGAGGAGGAAGGUGGUGAGCUUAAUACGCUCAUCAAUUGACGUUACUCGCAGAAGAAGCACCGGCUAACUCCGUGCCAGCAGCCGCGGUAAUACGGAGGGUGCAAGCGUUAAUCGGAAUUACUGGGCGUAAAGCGCACGCAGGCGGUUUGUUAAGUCAGAUGUGAAAUCCCCGGGCUCAACCUGGGAACUGCAUUUGAAACUGGCAAGCUAGAGUCUCGUAGAGGGGGGUAGAAUUCCAGGUGUAGCGGUGAAAUGCGUAGAGAUCUGGGGAAUACCGGUGGCGAAGGCGGCCCCCUGGACGAAGACUGACGCUCAGGUGCGAAAGCGUGGGGCAGCAAACAGGAUUAGAUACCCUGGUAGUCCACGCUGUAAACGAUGUCGAUUUUGGAGGUUGUGCCCUUGAGGCGUGGCUUCCGGAGCUAACGCGUUAAAUCGACCGCCUGGGGAGUACGGCCGCAAGGUUAAAACUCAAAGGAAUUGACGGGGUCAUAGCUGUUUCCU